ensembl:lncRNA
CUGUGAAGUCCCUGAAGAUUUGGGUUAUUAUUUGUUUUAAAUAAUUACCUAGAGGCUUGCAAAGUUUUUGCUGUAAAAAUAUAGAGGAGAGGGGGUCUUUCUAUUUUGUGCAUAUGUUUUAAAAUACAGUUGUGUAUCGCUAGCUUGUAUCAGAAAUAGUGCAGUCAGCAGGAGUAGGGGGGUGACUGUCCCUCUGUAUUCUACACUGUAAAGCCACAGCUUGAGUACUGUGUUCAGUUUUGGGCCCCUCAAUACAAGAAAAACAUUGAGGCACUGGUGCGUGUGUAGAGAAGGAUAACAGAGCUGUGAAGGGUCUGGAGAACAAGCCUUAGUGGCUAAGGGAACAGAUCGCUCAGUCUGGAGAAGUUCAGGGAAGACUUUACUGCUCUCUGCAAUGACCUGAAGGGAGGUUGUGGUGAGGUGGGAGUCAGCCUCUGCUCCCAUAUAACAGUGAUAGGAUGAGAGGGGUGGGCCUCAAAUUGCUCCAGGGGAUGUUCAGGUUGGAUAUUAGGAGAAAAAAAAUAUUCUUAAAGAGUGGUGCUACAUUGGAACAGGCUGCCCAGGGAGAUGGUGGAAUCACCAUCCCUGGAGGUGUUCCAGAACUGUGUGGAUGUGGCACUGAGGAUGUGGUUAGUGGGCAUGGUUGGGUUGGGUUGGUAGAUGGACUUGAAGAUCUUAGUGGUCUUUCCAACCUUAAUGAUUCUGUGAUUCUAUGAAAAAUGGGAAUUAUAUCAAAUUUCUGGGUGCCUACCAGCAAGGAAUGGCUGACCCAUUUCUCAUCAGACAUUGCAGUAAAAAAACAUCUUGUCACUAACUCUGUUAAAUGUGGGGGAAAGACUCACGUGCCUCAUCUGUUUAGUGCUUUGACCCAGGGUAGAAACAGCUUAGGUUCAGCUGAAGAGAUAUCUGUCUCUGUGCUGUGCCCAUUUCUUUCUGCAAACAGUCACACGGGUAGAUUUCCAGCCAAGACAGAGAGCUCAUAAAUUACUGAGACAUCAAUAAAUGACUCAAUGAUUUUAGAGUGACUAAAAUGAAACAUAUCUUAUUUAUGUUAAUGAAAAUGACUGACAUCCCCAGCGCCUGUCAUCUUGAAGAAUCACUGAGUGCUCUG